rnacentral:sRNA from 1 species
GUAGUUUCCGCACCGCUGACGCAUGCCUGCGCGCACAGCUGGGCCGGGCGCGUCCUACGCAGCAGCCGCGAGCCGGGCUGCGGGUGCCAGACGGUUCCCGGCGGGGGGCAGGGGCGGGGCGCCGCAGGAGGCCGGGACUCCUGGCGGAGGAGCCCCAAGGAGGCCCGCCUGACGACUGACCAGUUGCCAUGGCAUCCUACUACGAGAUCCUAGACGUGCCGCGAAGUGCGUCCGCUGAUGACAUCAAGAAGGCGUAUCGGCGCAAGGCUCUCCAGUGGCACCCAGACAAAAACCCGGAUAAUAAAGAAUUUGCUGAGAAGAAAUUUAAGGAGGUGGCCGAGGCAUAUGAAGUGCUGUCUGACAAGCACAAGCGGGAGAUUUAUGACCGCUAUGGCCGGGAAGGGCUGACAGGGACAGGAACUGGCCCAUCUCGGGCAGAAGCUGGCAGUGGUGGGCCUGGCUUCACCUUCACCUUCCGCAGCCCCGAGGAGGUCUUCCGGGAAUUCUUCGGGAGUGGAGACCCUUUUGCAGAGCUCUUUGGUGAGUGGACUCUGGAAGCCUCGGAAUGGCUCAACUUCCCCUCCAGGCCUGUCCUUCCAUCAGCUGGGAGGCCCUGAGGUGGAAGGCUGAGAGGGGACGGGAAUGCCACGGACAGAAGAUUUUGUGGAGCUGGGUCCAGUGAGAGCUGGGACAGAACCUCACGUGUGCCAGAACCCCUGUGAUCCAACAGUGACACUUCACAGACUCACCUUAUUAAAUUACAACAAUAAUACAUUGCUAGACUUCUAUAGUAACAGCCAUGAAAGCAAGACUCAAAGCAUCUUGUGACAAUAUUGUUAUUACCUAUAAAACAUACUGGUAUUUUUUAGUGAUAGAUAUAUGCCAAAUAUUUUACAUUUCCUAAGUCUCUAGUGAACCCUGACAGGUGGGCAAUUUUAUCCCCAUUUGCAGAUGAGAAAACUGAGGCACAGUUAAUAGCCCAGAGUCACAUAACACAUGGCAGAGCUGGACUCCUAGCUGUGUCUGCCUGUCAUCGCGUCAUGAUGAUUUGCCUGUACUGAAAGAGCCAUCUGUCCUCCAUCCCUCUUCCCCCUCCUUCCUUCCUUUAUUCUUUAUUGUGGACAGAAUUAACC